UACGAAGGGGGCUAGCGUUGUUCGGAAUUACUGGGCGUAAAGCGCACGUAGGCGGAUAUUUAAGUCAGGGGUGAAAUCCCGCAGCUCAACUGCGGAACUGCCUUUGAUACUGGGUAUCUUGAGUAUGGAAGAGGUAAGUGGAAUUCCGAGUGUAGAGGUGAAAUUCGUAGAUAUUCGGAGGAACACCAGUGGCGAAGGCGGCUUACUGGUCCAUUACUGACGCUGAGGUGCGAAAGCGUGGGGAG
rnacentral:rRNA from 1 species